AUGAAUGAGCUCAGAGGGAAGGGUUGGAGCCUUCAGAAAGUGGGCAGCACCCUUUCACCCCAGACUCAGGCUUCUGGCAGAGACUGGGCUUGCACAGGGCAGGAGAAGCCUCCUCCUGAGUGGCUCACGUGGGUCACCGUCUCUGCAGUUCUCCUUCCUUCUGGGUCCUGGGCCCAGUCUGCCCGGACCCAGCCUCCCUCCAUGUCUGGGACUUCGAGACAAAUUGUUGCAUCUCUUGCAGUGGAAGCAGCCGCCACACUGGGACUUACAACCCUGCCUUCUGGCACCAACAGUGUCCGGAGCAGCCCCCACACUCCAGAGAGAUGCUGUGAGUUCUCUGCCUUCGGGGCUUCCAGCUCUAUUCUCAGGCUCCGGGGCUGGCAACACAGCCUCCUUGACCAUCUCUGGACUGCAGCCUGAGGGCGAGGCUGAUUAUCACUGA